rnacentral:lncRNA from 1 species
CAGUACAUGGUAUAUCAUGGACACCAAAAGCAAACUAUAAAGAUCUAAAUGCCAUAAUUUUGUGCAUCUUGAAAACUGGAAAGGCGGAUCACUUUGAAGCAGAUGAUAGUGAUAGUGUUUAAAAGAAUUCUUUGCGACAGUUAUACCAGUUGGAACAGGUAAUAGUUUAAAUUAUGAAAGUUUUAAAUUACUUCUCGGAUAAAUCAUAUGGCCCGUUCAAUAAUUUUAAUACAUCCCCCC